AUAUUGGAAGUUGGAGAAAUUGAGAAAUGGAGAGACCAAUAUAGUUUAAGAGAAUGCAAGAACAAGAAGAUGUCUCACCUCUCUCACCUACUGUGUUUCUGCAUCUUGAAGCAAAGCUUUAGUGAGGAAUGAGGAGACUUUUCAACUGUCAGUGUUCUCACACCAGAGGCAGGCAAAUGUGCAGAACACAGGAGCUGCUUUCAACUGCUUCAAAAUCAAGUUUUCUUCCAAUUCAACUGCACUGACUCGCUGUUUGUGAUCGCCGUCGCCCACCACAUCUUCAAAUCUGCAGGCCGUCGAGACUCGUACCCG